UUUAGCCCAAGACCCUUUCUCAUUAAUUUCACAUUGGGCCAGCCUUUAACCCGCGACCCGUCUGCCCAAACCCGCCCCACUUGCCCAAAUAUACGAUGCAAAUAAUACACCCAACCCUAAAUCUAAUCCCAAACGGCUCCAGCACUAUUCAUUGUCUUCUUCACCAAAAUCAUUCCCAAACUCGCCAAAAUACAGGCGAGUGUACCCAAACUCGCCAAAAUACAGGCGAGUACACCCAAACUCACAUCACGUGCUCCCUCCUUCUCUCCUCUUGCCACAUAGUGUAACAGUCUCUGACAAUAAGAAGAUUCCUUCCAGAUAUUUGUGCGUCUUUAGCCUCUCGAUCGAUUUGCUAGAUGAAUUGAGGUUGUGGAUGGAUGAAAAUCAAUCCUUUCCCUCUAUUUGUCCCUAAAAUCGUUCACGGAAAGGGAUUGAAAAGGAAUUUCGAAUUUUGUUUUGGGGAGAAGGUUCGAGAAAUCUGAGGGUCUAUAUAAGGUGAGGAUUUUCCUUGUGUGAGGGGGUUCGAGAAAACAGAUUUUCGAAAGGAUUUGAGAGAGAAAAGUUCUAGGGCUAAGGAGAGUUUCAGGAUUUUUUCUUCUAACUUUUUAGUUUAUUUCUUGAGAAAUACAAAAAUUCCUUCAGUGUUUUUUUCUUUGUUUUGAAUAUCAGAAACAUAAAGUAACCGGUCUCUUUUAUUUCAAUUUUCGAAAUUCUGAUUGUUAAAAAUGGAGUUUGAUUGAAGUUUAAAUUUGAGUUUAUGGUUGGGUUCAAAAUUCCGGUGCCGGUUCGAGUGCCGAUCGAGGUCCGUUCGUUGAUUGUUAGGUCCUGUUUCUUGUUGCUGCUUCUCGGUGGAUUUUUAUGCUCGAAGGAAUUUGCAUUUGCUGAUUUUUCAUUGUUAAUUAGAAGAAUUUCUGUUUAGCAGGUUCAUCUCUAUCGUUUCUUCUCUAUUUUGAUUUUAUUAACUUGAACCGAGCCUCAAAAGAGCCAUUUAAGGAAGGGUAGAAUUUUUGUUUGAAUUGCUUCAGUGAGUGAUUGACUUCUAAAAAUUUGCUUAUCUAGAAAUUAUGUGUUCUCAUUUGUUUUUUUAGUUCUCAAUCCAUCAUUAUCAGUGUGUAUUCCGUUUGCAAAUAGUUCUGAGCUUAAAACGAGUUGUUCAGUGAAAUGACAUAUUUCUCUGCUUGUUCAUUGUCCAAAGUGAGAUUCGCGUCCAUGCUUGCUAUUGUUUGGAUCCAUUAGUCAAUGGUUAAAAUUUUGUUGAAGAACCACUUUACUCAUUGUUAGAGUUUAGAACCUUUAAGAUUCAUAAGUGGUUUGCUGAAAUAGCUUUUUGUUAAUAAAGUUAAGUAAGACAGUGAACUUCCAAGAAUUACUCUUUGACUUCAUUUUCCUGAGUAGAUUAGGUCCAUUAAUUUCCUAUCUCGCAGAUCUAGUCCACAUCUGAUGUUAUGGUCGUCAUAUGCAUCAGAAAUGAAGUCAUAGGUAUAUUUGAAUCCCUACUAAGUUCGAGAUGUUAGUCUAGGCAUGCCUCCUUUUCCUGUUAAAGUCCAAGUAUUAGUGAGAUAAUUCAUGAGUAAGUUAACUUUCAUCAAAUAUUUAUGGCCUGAAUAUCAUCGUCUCUGCCAAGUCUUCGCUACUGCUAGAUAUGAAAGUUUUCUGUAUGUUGCACAUGAUUGUCCGACUCCUUGGUUACUUUCUUUGGUAUUAAUCAUUUGAAGUGGAAAUAUUGUAUAUCCCUUGUGCUAACGUAAGCUAUAGUAAUUUGUUUAGUACUUUUAGGUUUGGAGUCAUUUAGUUGUGUGGAGAUUGAAUUAAGCAAUUAUGUUAUCUAGGUGUCAAUAACUAACAGUGAACUAGGAUAAAAAGGUGAAUAAAGGAUCUUUAAAUGGCUCUUCGAUAGCUUUGAUUCACUUUACUUUGCUAUUUCAUCCUACCAUGAUUCAUAUUCCCUUUAAAUGACCAUAAUGUUGUUUUGUAUGGGUAUUUAUUUUGUGCGUUCUGCUGGAUAGUUUAUUCUACUUGUUAGAUUGAUAGAUGUAAAACUAUUCGGAAGACGAUGUUGGGUCGUGAGGGGUGAAAUCACGAAUGAAAUGAUGUUGAACAUGAGCAUGAAAUGUCUUUGUUCAUUUUGGUUAUUUUAUUUUUCUUCCAUACCCGCUGAUAGCAUGCUUAGGCCAUUAAUCUUCAUAUACAUCGUAGUUUGCUUUAGGCACGUAAUUAAAUCACCACAACUAUGGGUACAGUUUCUGUGGCGUAGUUGUGAUACCUAAUUUCAAAUUAGUUUUAAAUAUGAACAUCCGUAGUUCGCUUUAGUCGAAUACAAUUUUUUUUAAAUAAGUUGAGGUGUGCCAUACAAUCACCUAGUUUAUGGCCCUCACAUUGAUAUCUUAGUUAGUGUAGAAAAUGCAUUGGAAUCUCAUAGUUUGCUUCAGGCGCGUUAACUGAAUAAAUUGUCUUAGCUGUAGGUACGUUUCCCAUGACGUGGUUGUGACACUUAAUUUCUAAAAAUAUGUGGGUACAUUUAUGUGACCCGACCACAAUUUAAUCUUGUUAAAAAAUUAAACAUAUUGUGUAUCGUCGGUAUGGUUCCCGUGACACGAUUUGCGACGUGUAAUUAAAUAAAUAGUUGUAAAACAAUUGGAUUAUUAAAAGUGAUUUAAAAGGAAUAAAAUGCACAUAGGUUUCAAAGAUGUUUUAAAAUCAAAUAAAUAGGCCAAUUUUAACAGUUGAGCGAUCGUGCUAAAACCACGGAACCCGGGAAUGCCUAACACCUUCUCCCGGGUUAACAAAAUUCCUUACCUGGAUUUCUAUGUUCACAAACCGUAAAUAGAGUCAAACUUCUUCGAUUUGGGAUUUUAAACCGGUGACUUGGGACACCAAUUAACUAUCCCAAGUUGCGACUCUGAUUUUAAUGUAGAUAAAUCCCGUUUCGAUUGUCACUUAAAUUGGAAAAACUCCCUUAUUCCCCUUUCCGCGGGUAGGAAAAAGUGACACUAGUUAUGUAAUAGAUUGUAUAAACUCUUUCGUACACUUUUACUAUGUUAGAUGCUCGUGAUUGGUGAUACCUCGAUGUCGGUCUGUGUUUGGUUUUCUGCAGUUGAUAGAUUUCACUCAAUUAUGGGAUUUAUAAUUAUUAAUGACUUAAUUAUGAAUUCUUAUCUGCUAACUUAAUUGGGUGUUGUGUCGGCUGGCCUUAUCUUCACGAGAGACGCCAUCACGACUGGGUCUGGGUUUAGGGUCGUGACAAGUUGGUAUCAGAGCCUAGGUUACAUAGGUCUCACGAGUCAUGAGCAGGUUUAGUAGAGUCUCACGGAUCAGUACGAAGAUGUCUGUAUUUAUCCUCGAGAGGCUGCAGAACCUUUAGGAAAAACAUCAUAUUCUUGAAAUUCUUGUCGUGCGAAUCUGUUGAUCAGAGUACUAAACUUCUGUUAUUCUAUUCUCUCAUAGAUGAUGAGGACACGUGCUACCUGUCAGGAUGGACGACCACCAGUACCACCAACUGUGGCCACU
rnacentral:lncRNA from 1 species